ACUUUGAUAACUUACAAUUCUCUCCGCCAGGGAACUACGAGCGCUAGCUUAAAACCCAAAAGACUUGGCGGUGCCCUACACCCACCUAGAGGAGCCUGUUCUAUAAUCGAUACCCCCCGCUUUACCUCACCAAUUUUUGCCAAAUCCGCCUGUAUACCGCCGUCGCCAACUUACCCUUUGAAGGUCAAAAAGUAAGUAUAAUGGUCUCUCACCAGAACGUCAGGUCAAGGUGCAGCGAAUGAAUUGGAUAGAAAUGGGCUACAUUUUCUACUUUAGAAAAUACGGAAAAUCACUAUGAAACCUGAUUAGAAGGCGGAUUUAGCAGUAAAAAGAAACCAGAACGUUCUUUUUAAUCUGGCCCUAGGGCGCGCA
rnacentral:rRNA from 1 species